rnacentral:rRNA from 1 species
AGUGAACGCUGGCGGUAGGCCUAACACAUGCAAGUCGAACGGCAGCACAGUAAGAGCUUGCUCUUACGGGUGGCGAGUGACGGACGGGUGAGGAAUACAUCGGAAUCUACUUUUUCGUGGGGGAUAACGUAGGGAAACUUACGCUAAUACCGCAUACGACCUACGGGUGAAAGCAGGGGAUCUUCGGACCUUGCGCGAUUGAAUGAGCCGAUGUCGGAUUAGCUAGUUGGCGGGGUAAAGGCCCACCAAGGCGACGAUCCGUAGCUGGUCUGAGAGGAUGAUCAGCCACACUGGAACUGGGACACGGUCCAGACUCCUACGGGAGGCAGCAGUGGGGAAUAUUGGACAAUGGGCGCAAGCCUGAUCCAGCCAUACCGCGUGGGUGAAGAAGGCCUUCGGGUUGUAAAGCCCUUUUGUUGGGAAAGAAAAGCAGCAGGUUAAUACCCCGCUGUUCUGACGGUACCCAAAGAAUAAGCACCGGCUAACUUCGUG